rnacentral:rRNA from 1 species
AAUCAACGCUGGCGGCGCGCUUAACACAUGCAAGUCGGACGAGAAAGGCGGAGCAAUCCGCUGAGUACAGUGGAGUACGGGUGAGUAACACGUGGGUUACCUGCCCUCUGGUGGGGAAUAACCCUGGGAAACCGGGGCUAAUACCGCAUAAGCCCGCGAGGGCAAAGCCGAAAGGCGCCGGAGGAGGGGCCAGCGGCCGAUUAGCUAGUUGGUAGGGUAACGGCCUACCAAGGCUGUGAUCGGUAGCCGGCCUGAGAGGGCACACGGCCACACUGGCACUGAAACACGGGCCAGACUCCUACGGGAGGCAGCAGUGGGGAAUCUUGCACAAUGGGGGAAACCCUGAUGCAGCGACGCCGCGUGAGCGAUGAAGCCCUUCGGGGUGUAAAGCUCUUUCGGCGGGAAAGACAGUGACGGUACCCGCAGAAGAAGCUGCGGCUAACUACGUGCCAGCCGCCGCAGUAACAC